UCGAGUCAUAAGGAAUCUACAAGACGGCUUCAUGGUGGAAUUGCUAAGGAAACCAAUUGUAAUCAUUGCAUCAAGAAUCAAAAACAAAAUGGGCAAAGCGCCAAAGAUGUAUAUAGAAAGAAAAUUGUUUACUGUGGGAUUUUCACGAACCAAAUAGAGGAUAUUGGGUAAUAAUCACAACUUACGGGGAGAAAGAGGAUAAGCAAAAGAUUGAUUGUCUGAAACAAGUGAAUUGUGAGGGAAAAUGGUGUCUGAAAAUGAAAAUGGUUCAAAUGAGGAAGAAUACAGUUUAUAUAGAGAAGGAGACGGUGAUGGGGCGGGCAGGCAGGCGGGCUUUGUCCAUUGCGAAG
rnacentral:misc_RNA from 1 species